rnacentral:tRNA from 1 species
GCAUUGGUGGUUCAGUGGUCGAAUUCUCACCUUCCAUACAGGAGACCCGGGUUCUGUUCCUGGCUAAUGCA